rnacentral:rRNA from 1 species
UUAAGCGACUAAGCGUACACGGUGGAUGCCCUGGCAGUCAGAGGCGAUGAAGGACGUGCUAAUCUGCGAAAAGCGUCGGUAAGGUGAUAUGAACCGUUAUAACCGGCGAUGUCCGAAUGGGGAAACCCAGUGCAAUUCGUUGCACUAUCGUUAACUGAAUACAUAGGUUAACGAGGCGAACCGGGGGAACUGAAACAUCUAAGUACCCCGAGGAAAAGAAAUCAACCGAGAUUCCCCCAGUAGCGGCGAGCGAACGGGGAGCAGCCCAGAGUCUGAAUCAGCUUGUGUGUUAGUGGAACGGUCUGGAAAGUCCGACGGUACAGGGUGAUAGUCCCGUACACCAAAAUGCACAGGCUGUGAACUCGAAGAGUAGGGCGGGACACGUGGUAUCCUGUCUGAAUAUGGGGGGACCAUCCUCCAAGGCUAAAUACUCCUGACUGACCGAUAGUGAACCAGUACCGUGAGGGAAAGGCGAAAAGAACCCCGGCGAGGGGAGUGAAAAAGAACCUGAAACCGUGUACGUACAAGCAGUGGGAGCACCUUCGGGUGUGACUGCGUACCUUUUGUAUAAUGGGUCAGCGACUUAUAUUCUGUAGCAAAGUUAACCGUAUAGGGGAGCCGCAGGGAAACCGAGUCUUAACUGGGCGUUAAGUUGCAGGGUAUAGACCCGAAACCCGGUGAUCUAGCCAUGGGCAGGUUGAAGGUUGGGUAACACUAACUGGAGGACCGAACCGACUAAUGUUGAAAAUUAGCGGAUGACUUGUGGCUGGGGGUGAAAGGCCAAUCAAACCGGGAGAUAGCUGGUUCUCCCCGAAAGCUAUUUAGGUAGCGCCUCGUGAAUUCAUCUUCGGGGGUAGAGCACUGUUUCGGCUAGGGGGUCAUCCCGACUUACCAACCCGAUGCAAACUACGAAUACCGAAGAAUGUUAUCACGGGAGACACACGGCGGGUGCUAACGUCCGUCGUGAAGAGGGAAACAACCCAGACCGCCAGCUAAGGUCCCAAAGUCAUGGUUAAGUGGGAAACGAUGUGGGAAGGCACAGACAGCCAGGAUGUUGGCUUAGAAGCAGCCAUCAUUUAAAGAAAGCGUAAUAGCUCACUGGUCGAGUCGGCCUGCGCGGAAGAUGUAACGGGGCUAAACCAUGCACCGAAGCUGCGGCAGCGACACUAUGUGUUGUUGGGUAGGGGAGCGUUCUGUAAGCCUGCGAAGGUGUGCUGUGAGGCAUGCUGGAGGUAUCAGAAGUGCGAAUGCUGACAUAAGUAACGAUAAAGCGGGUGAAAAGCCCGCUCGCCGGAAGACCAAGGGUUCCUGUCCAACGUUAAUCGGGGCAGGGUGAGUCGACCCCUAAGGCGAGGCCGAAAGGCGUAGUCGAUGGGAAACAGGUUAAUAUUCCUGUACUUGGUGUUACUGCGAAGGGGGGACGGAGAAGGCUAUGUUAGCCGGGCGACGGUUGUCCCGGUUUAAGCAUGUAGGCUGGUUGUCCAGGCAAAUCCGGAUAAUCAAGGCUGAGGUGUGAUGACGAGGCACUACGGUGCUGAAGUAACAAAUGCCCUGCUUCCAGGAAAAGCCUCUAAGCAUCAGGUAACAUCAAAUCGUACCCCAAACCGACACAGGUGGUCAGGUAGAGAAUACCAAGGCGCUUGAGAGAACUCGGGUGAAGGAACUAGGCAAAAUGGUGCCGUAACUUCGGGAGAAGGCACGCUGGUGUGUAGGUGAAGUCCCUGCGGAUGGAGCUGAGACCAGUCGAAGAUACCAGCUGGCUGCAACUGUUUAUUAAAAACACAGCACUGUGCAAACACGAAAGUGGACGUAUACGGUGUGACGCCUGCCCGGUGCCGGAAGGUUAAUUGAUGGGGUUAUCCGUAAGGAGAAGCUCUUGAUCGAAGCCCCGGUAAACGGCGGCCGUAACUAUAACGGUCCUAAGGUAGCGAAAUUCCUUGUCGGGUAAGUUCCGACCUGCACGAAUGGCGUAAUGAUGGCCAGGCUGUCUCCACCCGAGACUCAGUGAAAUUGAACUCGCUGUGAAGAUGCAGUGUACCCGCGGCAAGACGGAAAGACCCCGUGAACCUUUACUAUAGCUUGACACUGAACAUUGAGCCUUGAUGUGUAGGAUAGGUGGGAGGCUUUGAAGCGUGGACGCCAGUCUGCGUGGAGCCAACCUUGAAAUACCACCCUUUAAUGUUUGAUGUUCUAACGUUGGCCCCUUACCGGGGUUGCGGACAGUGUCUGGUGGGUAGUUUGACUGGGGCGGUCUCCUCCCAAAGCGUAACGGAGGAGCACGAAGGUUAGCUAAUCCUGGUCGGACAUCAGGAGGUUAGUGCAAUGGCAUAAGCUAGCUUGACUGCGAGCGUGACGGCGCGAGCAGGUGCGAAAGCAGGUCAUAGUGAUCCGGUGGUUCUGAAUGGAAGGGCCAUCGCUCAACGGAUAAAAGGUACUCCGGGGAUAACAGGCUGAUACCGCCCAAGAGUUCAUAUCGACGGCGGUGUUUGGCACCUCGAUGUCGGCUCAUCACAUCCUGGGGCUGAAGUAGGUCCCAAGGGUAUGGCUGUUCGCCAUUUAAAGUGGUACGCGAGCUGGGUUUAGAACGUCGUGAGACAGUUCGGUCCCUAUCUGCCGUGGGCGCUGGAGAAUUGAGGGGGGCUGCUCCUAGUACGAGAGGACCGGAGUGGACGCAUCACUGGUGUUCGGGUUGUCAUGCCAAUGGCACUGCCCGGUAGCUAAAUGCGGAAGAGAUAAGUGCUGAAAGCAUCUAAGCACGAAACUUGCCCCGAGAUGAGUUCUCCCUGAGACUUUAAGUCUCCUGAAGGAACGUUGAAGACGACGACGUUGAUAGGCCGGGUGUGUAAGCGCAGCGAUGCGUUGAGCUAACCGGUACUAAUGAACCGUGAGGCUUAACCUU